AGCUUUUAAAUCUUUAUAAAUAUAUGACAUUUUACAUUUGGUCAAAUAAUGCAUGAUGUUACAAAGACCAAAAAAUUGGAUUGCAGAAACAUUAUGGAAACCAAGAAAAACACACUCGUUGGAGCAAUUAAGAUAUCUUCAUUAUGUACUUCAACGAAAUAGUACUGUAAAUGAUGGAAAUAAAAGUCUUCUUGUUGAAACAUUGCGACAAAUGGCAGAGAUUCUUAUAUGGGGAGACCAAAAUGAUUCAACUGUUUUUGAUUUUUUCCUCGAAAAGAACAUGUUACUCUUCUUCUUGAAAUUUAUGACACAAAAUUGUGGGAGUUAUAUUACGGUUCAGCUCCUCCAAACUCUUAACAUCCUAUUUGAAAAUAUCCGACAUGAAACUUCUUUAUGUAAGUUUUUUAUAAUUGUAUGUAUGUAUGUAUGUAUGUAUGUAUGU
rnacentral:lncRNA from 1 species